rnacentral:tRNA from 2 species
GCUUAAAUAGUUUAAUUAAAAUAUUAAUUUGUGGAGUUAAUGAUACAUUUGUGUUUUGAGCC